rnacentral:rRNA from 1 species
UACGUAGGGGGCAAGCGUUGUCCGGAAUUAUUGGGCGUAAAGUGCGCGCAGGCGGCAAUAUAAGUCUGGUGUUUAAACCUGGGGCUCAACCUCGGGUCGCACUGGAAACUGUAUAGCUAGAGUGUAGGAGAGGAAAGUGGAAUUCCACGUGUAGCGGUGAAAUGCGUAGAGAUGUGGAGGAACACCAGUGGCGAAGGCGACUUUCUGGCCUAUAACUGACGCUGAGGCGCGAAAGCGUGGGGAGCAAACAGG